GCCAACCUGUGAAACUGGGCGCAAGGUGAGGGGUGCUAUCUGUGAUUGAGGGACAUGGUUAAUGGAAUUGUCUCACACAGAAAUCGCACCCGUCACCUUGGCCUACUUAUCA